AGUCGAGGGGCAGCAUUUUAGUUUGCUUGCAAACGUAAAGAUGGCGACCGGCGCACGGGUGAGUAACACGUAUCCAACCUACCGAUAACUCUGGAAUAGCCUUUCGAAAGAAAGAUUAAUACUGGAUAGUAUACGAAUAUCGCAUGAUAUUUUUAUUAAAGAAUUUCGGUUAUCGAUGGGGAUGCGUUCCAUUAGUUUGUUGGCGGGGUAACGGCCCACCAAGACUACGAUGGAUAGGGGUUCUGAGAGGAAGGUCCCCCACAUUGGAACUGAGACACGGUCCAAACUCCUACGGGAGGCAGCAGUGAGGAAUAUUGGUCAAUGGGCGCAGGCCUGAACCAGCCAAGUAGCGUGAAGGAUGACUGCCCUAUGGGUUGUAAACUUCUUUUAUAUGGGAAUAAAGUUUUCCACGUGUGGAAUUUUGUAUGUACCAUAUGAAUAAGGAUCGGCUAACUCCGUGCCAGCAGCCGCGGUAAUACGGAGGAUCCGAGCGUUAUCCGGAUUUAUUGGGUUUAAAGGGAGCGUAGGUGGAUUGUUAAGUCAGUUGUGAAAGUUUGCGGCUCAACCGUAAAAUUGCAGUUGAAACUGGCAGUCUUGAGUACAGUAGAGGUGGGCGGAAUUCGUGGUGUAGCGGUGAAAUGCUU
rnacentral:rRNA from 1 species